UACGUAGGGUGCGAGCGUUUGUCCGGAAUUAUUGGGCGUAAAGAGCUCGUAGGCGGCUUGUCGCGUCGGUUGUGAAAGCCCGGGGCUUAACCCCGGGUCUGCAGUCGAUACGGGCAGGCUAGAGUUCGGUAGGGGAGAUCGGAAUUCCUGGUGUAGCGGUGAAAUGCGCAGAUAUCAGGAGGAACACCGGUGGCGAAGGCGGAUCUCUGGGCCGAUACUGACGCUGAGGAGCGAAAGCGUGGGGAGCGAACAGG
rnacentral:rRNA from 1 species